rnacentral:rRNA from 1 species
UACGUAGGGAGCAAGCGUUGUUCGGAUUUACUGGGCGUAAAGGGCGCGUAGGCGGCAAUUCAAGUCAUCUGUGAAAUCUCCGGGCUUAACUCGGAACGGUCAGAUGAUACUGCUUUGCUAGAGUGCGGAAGGGGCAAUCGGAAUUCUCGGUGUAGCGGUGAAAUGCGUAGAUAUCGAGAGGAACACCUGAGGUGAAGACGGGUUGCUGGGCCGACACUGACGCUGACAGCGCGAAAGCCAGGGGAGCAAACGGG